rnacentral:rRNA from 1 species
GAUGAACGCUGGCGGCGUGCCUAAUACAUGCAAGUCGAGCGAACAGAUAAGGAGCUUGCUCCUUUGACGUUAGCGGCGGACGGGUGAGUAACACGUGGGUAACCUACCUAUAAGACUGGGAUAACUUCGGGAAACCGGAGCUAAUACCGGAUAACAUUUGGAACCGCAUGGUUCUAAAGUGAAAGAUGGUUUUGCUAUCACUUAUAGACGGACCCGCGCCGUAUUAGCUAGUUGGUAAGGUAACGGCUUACCAAGGCGACGAUACGUAGCCGACCUGAGAGGGUGAUCGGCCACACUGGAACUGAGACACGGUCCAGACUCCUACGGGAGGCAGCAGUAGGGAAUCUUCCGCAAUAGGCGAAAGCCUGACGGAGCAACGCCGCGUGAGUGAUGAAGGGUUUCGGCUCGUAAAACUCUGUUAUUAGGGAAGAACAAAUGUGUAAGUAACUGUGCACGUCUUGACGGUACCUAAUCAGAAAGCCACGGCUAACUACGUG